UGAAAAUCAUCACUUGAAUUUUCUAAUAAAAUUGAUUUUCUUCGAAUAAACCCCUAACUUGAAUUCAUGCAGGAUGCUGAGCAGUGUUGGCCAUGUUACAGAAUAUCUUGCUGCUCUUAAGGCUUUGCCUGCAGAUGAAGAAUCAAAAAUCAGUGGAGAGUUUUCUAGGGUUUUGAUAUCCGCUGAUUCGAUGAUAUCAACAAUGAAUAACGAGGAAGGGUAUCCAGUCGGUCUAAAGGUACUGGUUGUGGAUGAAGAUCUUUCGUUUCUGGAGGAAAUUCACGACAUGCUUCAAAAAUCUAAAUACACAGGUACUCUGUGUUCUUCUGCAACACAGGCAUUGUCUAUGCUCCACGAUAGAAGUCGCAAGUUUGACAUCAUUUUAAUGGCCAUCCUAGGCAACGACAUGGAGGGAUUUAAGCAAAUUCAACAUAUUUCCAUGGAAGCAGUGUCAAGGCUAAUCCUACCAUAAGAUCUGGCAUUACGGAAUUGACUAGUUCAGAUGACUAAACAACCAAGUCUAGUCUCAAGGUGUUAGUUUCCUAAUAUGUAGAAUCUGAUCCUGAUUUAUAGAAUCUGUAAUAUGACUAUGUACAUGUAAAAACACAUACAAAUAGAAGUGUUUAAUCUUCUCACGAUUUGUGGAAGAUUCACCAAAACCUAUAACCAAACUCUUGAGUUGGUAUCAGCCACCGAUCAUGAAAACCACGCUACCCAGCAACAACCACAAAUCCAUCUCUUCCAAUGGCUGACAUUACUACUCUUCAAAACGUCCAUAUCAAUCAUCUCAUCACCCUGAAACUCACUGAGACGAAUUACCUUCUCUGGAAAACCCUCUUUAAACCAGUACUAAGAGGAUACAAACUCAUUGGAUUCGUUGAUGGGACACAUGCAGUUCCCCCACGAACCCUUCCAAAUUCACAAGCCAUUAAUCCAGAAUACACAAAACAUGAAGACAUCGAUCAACUUCUUCUAGGUUGGAUUGUUUCUUCACUAUCUGAAAUUGUGAUUGGCAAGGUUACAGGUCUUGAAACCUCCAAAGCUGUAUGGGAUACUCUAGAAAGAGAGUUUGCCCCAAAAACAUCUGCUCACCAGAUGCACCUUCGCAGACAACUGCACAACCUUUCAAAAGGUAAUCUUACUAUGCAGCAAUAUUUCAAUCAAGCUAAAACUUUGUCUGAUGGUCUUGCAGCAUGUGGAUAUAAUGUCUCUAAUGAUGAUAUGAAGUCUGUUCUUGUUAACGGACUCAACCAAUCUUAUGACCCAAUUGUUACUUCCUUGGGAACUGUUACUGAGAUGGACAUGGAGACAUUCAAAGCACAUCUACUCACCUUCGACAUGCGUCUAGAACAACAUCAAGCAUUACUGCAACAGCCAUUGGAAAAUCUGGACACUUGAGGUGCUUCGUCUUCUGCAGCUAGGCCUGAUCAGAGAAGGUUCAGAAAUCAGCCACCAAAUCGUCAACCUCAGCAGCGUCAAAGAGCAAACAAUCAACAAGCACAAGGACCAUGUCAAAUCUGUGGACGGAGAAAUCAUGUUGCUGCACGUUGCUGGUAUCGUUUUGAUAAGGAUUUUGUACCACAACAACGAGCUCAUGCUGCUGCUUAUGUUGCACUGCCACAAGGUCGAGGUGAUAACAGGUGGGUGACAGAUACAACGGCUACACAUCACCUAACAGUUGAUAUUAACAAUCUCAUCAUACCGCAUGAAUAUGAAGGUACUGAACAAGUCCAGGUUGGCAAUGGACAAAAGCACGGGGACAACACUGCUACAGUGGUGGAAUAUAAAUGGGAUGUAUGUGUUUGAUGAUGUUGGUAGUGCUGCUUCUUCAAUUCCAUCAAAGACCUUCAUAACAAAUACUCUACCACAGUGGCACCAGCGAUUGGGGCACCCAAUGAUUCGUACUGUCCACCGAGUCAUUAAUCAGUUUUCUCUUCCCAUUACAAAUAUGUCAUUUGAUUUUUGUCAUUCUUGCCACAUAAGUAAGAGCAAGAAACUUCCCUUUCCAGAUAGUCGUACUGUUUUUAAUAAACCAUUGAGUUUGAUAGUUUCAGACAUUUGGGUUUCACCUCAUCUGUCUAGGAAUGGUUUUCGCUAUUAUAUGCUCUUAAUGGAUGCUU